rnacentral:rRNA from 1 species
GUUGACCUCGGAUCAGGUAGGGAUACCCGCUGAACUUAAGCAUAUCAAUAAGCGGAGGAAAAGAAACCAACAGGGAUUGCCCCAGUAACGGCGAGUGAAGCGGCAAGAGCUCAAAUUUGAAAGCUGGCUCCUUCGGGGUCCGCAUUGUAAUUUGCAGAGGAUGCUUCGGGAGCGGUCCCCAUCUAAGUUCCCUGGAACGGGACGUCAUAGAGGGUGAAAAUCCCGUAUGGGAUGGGGUGUCCGCGCCCGUGUGAAGCUCCUUCGACGAGUCGAGUUGUUUGGGAAUGCAGCUCUAAAUGGGUGGUAAAUUUCAUCUAAAGCUAAAUAUUGGCCGGAGACCGAUAGCGCACAAGUAGAGUGAUCGAAAGAUGAAAAGCACUUUGAAAAGAGAGUUAAAAAGCACGUGAAAUUGUUGAAAGGGAAGCGCUUGCGACCAGACUCGCUCGCGGGGUUCAGCCGGCAUUCGUGCCGGUGUACUUCCCCGCGGGCGGGCCAACGUCGGUUUGGGCGGUCGGUCAAAGGCCCUCGGAAGGUAACGCCCCCAGGGGCGUCUUAUAGCCGAGGGUGCAAUGCGACCUGCCUAGACCGAGGAACGCGCUUCGGCUCGGACGUUGGCAUAAUGGUCGUAAGCGACC